rnacentral:rRNA from 1 species
UACGUAGGGUGCAAGCGUUAAUCGGAAUUACUGGGCGUAAAGCGUGCGCAGGCGGUUUUGUAAGACAGUGGUGAAAUCCCCGGGCUCAACCUGGGAACUGCCAUUGUGACUGCAAGGCUAGAGUGCGGCAGAGGGGGAUGGAUUCCGCGUGUAGCAGUGAAAUGCGUAGAUAUGCGGAGGAACACCGAUGGCGAAGGCAAUCCCCUGGGCCUGCACUGACGCUCAUGCACGAAAGCGUGGGG